CCUUGUGUUUAGGGACGUGUUUGGGGACGUGCUUGGGGUUGUUUGGCAACAGUCGUGCUCGUUCGACUCUUUUCGGGUCACUUCAUACGURAGCAUACUAAAUGGAGCCAAGUGAAGAAUCUUUAUUUUACUUUUUUCUCUAAUACAAUUUAUAUAAUAUAUGACAUGUGCAAACAUAUAUUUUAAUGUAUUUACAUAAAUGGAUUGAAAAUAUGCAAAA